rnacentral:rRNA from 1 species
AUCAGCCUACGGGAGGCAGCAGUGAGGAAUAUUGCACAAUGGGGGGAACCCUGAUGCAGCGACGCCGCGUGAGUGAAGAAGUAUUUCGGUAUGUAAAGCUCUAUCAGCAGGGAAGAAAAUGACGGUACCUGACUAAGAAGCCCCGGCUAACUACGUGCCAGCAGCCGCGGUAAUACGUAGGGGGCGAGCGUUAUCCGGAUUUACUGGGUGUAAAGGGAGCGUAGACGGCGAUGCAAGUCAGAAGUGAAAGCCCGCGGCUCAACUGCGAGACUGCUUUUGAAACUGUAUAGCUUGAGUGCAGGAGG